CAGUAAAUUAAAUUCAGUUGAACGGACAGAAACGAUGUAGACACUAAAGAAGACAGAGUAAAGAUGAUAAGAUGAUGAUGUGAUUUUUGUUAUUAUUGUUUAAUUGUAACAAUGAUGAUCGGCGAUGAUGAAGAUUAACAUUUUCUUUUGUUCAAGUUAAUCCAUUGGAAGUUCAUCUUUGAAUAACCGGAUUGAGUUUGAAAGAGAAAAGAACAACAAAAAAAAGGUAAACAAACCAAACCAACGGCGAUCACAUUGAUGACCAACCAGAGAUUUUAUCGUUUCAACUGAUUGUAAUUAACUUUUAAUUUUUUCUUCUUUCGAAAAUUAAUUUCUUCUAAUUGUGAUUGUGAUUGUGAUUACCCUUAAUUUGGUUUUCUAUCAACUUAAAUGUGUUUAUAUUUAGAGGCCUAAGUGGCUGUUGAUGUUUUCGUAGGUUAACAUGUCAACUAACAACAACAAGUGGAUUGGUUGUUAUGGUCAACAAGGAGUUGAUUUUGUUUCCAUUUUUGGUUAAUUAACUAAUUAUAUUACAUUAAAUUUGGAAACAAUUUAAAUCACUUUAAUUUUCAUAAUUAAACAAGUAACUGGUUCACUUUUUCCCGAUGAGAGUAAAAAUUUAAUCUUGGUACGAACCUGUGGAAACCAUGGAGCGUUAAUUGUUA